rnacentral:lncRNA from 1 species
UGCACACAGAACACUUGAGCAAUAUAUAUUUUGAUCCUACGUUUCUAGUUACACUUCUCACCCAAGAAAUCUGAGCAUCAGAAGAAGACAGUGUGAUACCCAGGGAGGAAUGGAAUGGAAUUCUAUAAUGGAAUCUCCAGUGCAGUUGUGACAUUCUGCACAGCAUGGGACAAGAUGACUAUUUUGAAACAAAUGGCUCUAAACCUGAUGGCAAUACUACAAAGCUUUAUCCUGGCUCCAUUUCAAGUAUUGGCUUCUACAGAAAUAGAAUUCUAGCUAAAUAACUGUUAAAAGGACUGUAUAAAACUUUUCAU